CAAGGGGCGCAGCCUGGAUGCAGCCAUGCCGCGUGUGUGAAGAAGGCCUUCGGGUUGUAAAGCACUUUCAGUCGGUGAGGAAGGGGGUGUGUUAAUACCUGCAUUUGACGUUACAACAGAAGAAGCACCGGCUAACUCCGUGCCAGCAGCCGCGGUAAUACGGAGGGUGCGAGCGUUAAUCGGAAUUACUGGGCGUAAAGCGCAUGCAGGUGGUUUGUUAAGUCAGAUGUGAAAGCCCGGGCUCAACCUCGGAAUUGCAUUUAAACUGGCAAACUAGAGUCUGUAGAGGGGGGUAGAAUUUCAGGUGUAGCGGUGAAAUGCGUAGAGAUCUGAAGGAAUACCGGUGGCGAAGGCGGCCCCCUGGACAAUACUGACACUCAAUGCAAAGCGUGGGGAGCAAACAGGAUUAAUACCCUGGUAGUCCACCCUAAACAAUGUCUACUUGAGUUGGGCCUUGACC
rnacentral:rRNA from 1 species